GGGGCUGUAGCUCAGUGGUAGAGCAUUUGCCUUGCAUGUGUGAGGCACUGGGUUCAAUCCUCAGCACCA
rnacentral:tRNA from 1 species